AGCAGUAGGGAAUCUUUCACAAUGGACGCAAGUCUGAUGGAGCAACGCCGCGUGAGUGAAGAAGGUCUUCGGAUCGUAAAACUCUGUUGUUAGAGAAGAACACGAGUGAGAGUAACUGUUCAUUCGAUGACGGUAUCUAACCAGCAAGUCACGGCUAACUACGUGCCAG
rnacentral:rRNA from 1 species